CAUUUCCAGCCCUCCUUUCAGGUGACGUCCUGCUCACUGUAAAGCCGCUGGCCGGCUACAGAUAGCGCCUGAACAGAGACCCUGAAAACGGAAGACUCACUGAGAAAUGCUGCUUUGGUUGGAGCGCUCCACCGAACAAAGUUAUCAGUAAAAGGCUAUUCCAAGUACAAUGCCAAGGAACUCUUUGAGUGUCUAUGGCACCCUACAACUAAGUGAAAUGGAAGGACAUACUGACACAUGAAAUGAUCCUGAUCAGGUAUUAAUAUGGGGAAGGAGCAUGCUAGCUGCCAGAGUGGUUAGUAAAACACGCUAAUGCUGGGAUAAAGACUGAUGCUGAUCGUGACCUUACAAACUGCCCUGACAAUGAUGACAGGGAAGCUGUACUGGGCCUAUGUCCCUUGAUCCACUCCUUUUACAUCCAACGGUAUGGGAAAGCCCAGAAGUUGUGGGAAUGGUAAAUAAUACUAAGUUAAUGAAUAUGCCUGCUGGAAAAACUUUCACUAUCAAUCAAAAGAGAAGUUAAUUACCAAGGAUUGGGAACUGGUACCCCCAAGUGAUUUUCAAAGCAGAACGCUACUGGACUGAGAGUAUCUCCUACUACAUUACAGGGGAAAGAUCUUGACUCAGACAAAGACAGUUUAAAUGGCAUUCGAGUCACUUUACCCACUGGCCUAGAGGCAGAGGAAUACCAGGCACCACAAUAUUUUCCACAUUGUGGGAUGAGGGAAUGCACAGAUAUCACAAUUCCCGAAAAAGAAAAAGAAAAAGAAAAAGAAAAAGAAAAAGAAAAAGAAAAAAAGAUGUGUGGGGAAUAAGCCUGUGCUUUAUCAGCCUCAUGGGACUGACUUCAAGAUUUUGGACUGGUCAGAAUCUAGGGGAGUGGCUAGUAUGACUAAUUAUGCUACUAACUCUCCGUCUCCACCUAUCCUCCCCUCAUCAGCUUUGCCUGCUGGACUCUGGUGGACCCACACAGUUUAUCAACAAAGAUACGUACAGGAGUUGGGUGCUGUCUUGGAUGAUGUGAGUGCUCAGCCUAAAAGAUCAAGUCCAGCUUGGGUGACAGAGCCCGUUACAUCAUGUGUUCACAUGCCUUAUGGCCUAUCAGUAGGAAAUAUUAGCAUUAUUCUACAUUCUAAAAAUAAUACUUUUGAUGUGUCUUGUGUUGGCUGUAAUUCGACUAAUUGUGUUUUAAAAGCCUAUUCUAAACAUUCUGUUAUCAUUUUACAACAACCUGCUUUUGUGAUCGUUCCUGUAAAUAUUACUGAAGAUUGGUUUGAUGACAAGGGUUUACAUGUAAUUAAAGAGUUAACAAGGGUGUUGGCCAGGCCUAAA